rnacentral:rRNA from 1 species
AUUGAACGCUGGCGGCAGGCCUAACACAUGCAAGUCGAGCGGCAGCGGGAAAGUAGCUUGCUACUUUUGCCGGCGAGCGGCGGACGGGUGAGUAAUGCCUGGGAAAUUGCCCAGUAGAGGGGGAUAACAGUUGGAAACGACUGCUAAUACCGCAUACGCCCUACGGGGGAAAGCAGGGGACCUUCGGGCCUUGCGCGGUUGGAUAGGCCCGGGUGGGAUUAGCUAGUUGGUGAGGUAAUGGCGCACCAAGGCGACGAUCCCUAGCUGGUCUGAGAGGAUGAUCAGCCACACUGGAACUGAGACACGGUCCAGACUCCUACGGGAGGCAGCAGUGGGGAAUAUUGCACAAUGGGGGAAACCCUGAUGCAGCCAUGCCGCGUGUGUGAAGAAGGCCUUCGGGUUGUAAAGCACUUUCAGCAAGGAGGAAUGGUUGAUGCCUAAUACGUAUCAACUGUGACGUUACUCGCAGAAGAAGCACCGGCUAACUCCGUGCCAGCCGCCGCGGUAACAC